UAUCCUAAGCAGCACAGACUUAUCUUCCUUUUCAUGCAUAUUUCAAUUUAAAAAUAUGCAGUGAUUUAGCUUCAACUUACUGUUAACUUCUCAGCAGGUAUUUCAGAGUAGUUAAACCUUCUUAUCAAGGUUAUUCUGGUUACUAUCAUCGGGUGGCAGACCAUGAAGGAAGUAAAGCUUUUUGAAGCUUCUUGGGUGCCAUGGACUAUCACAAACCCUGCAUGAGAAUUGGAACAAGGCAGCUUGAGACUCUGACUUCAAUUCUAGGAGAGAAAAGCCUUAAGCAACAGAAA
rnacentral:lncRNA from 1 species